rnacentral:rRNA from 1 species
GCGGUUAAAAAGCUCGUAGUUGGAUUUCUGUUGAGGAUGGCCGGUCCGCUCUAUGAGCGUGUAUCUGGUUCAGCCUUGGCAUCCUCUUGGGGAACGUAGCUACGCUUGAUUGCGCGGUGCGGUAUUCAAGACUUUUACUUUGAGGAAAUUAGAGUGUUCACGGCAGGCAUUCGCCUUGAAUAUAUUAGCAUGGAAUAAUAACAUAGGACCUUGGUUCUAUUUUGUUGGUUUCUAGAACUAAGGUAAUGAUUAAUAGGGGUAAUUGGGGGCAUUUGUAUUAACGCGUCAGA